rnacentral:lncRNA from 1 species
GAACCUCGUGCUGCCGGCACCACCUACGCCGCCGCCGCUCCUCGUCCUCAUCGCCGCCGACUAUGCCCAGCGGCCAGCGCCGCUCUUCGCUAUCGAGGUCGCCGCAGCUCGACAGAGCAAGUGGAAUCGGCAGGGCGGGGCAGGCUCCUCGCGCUCGGGAUCUUCUCCCAGCUCAUCCCACGCUCCCAGUGCAAGGAGCAGCCGGCCGACGCGGCCCCGUGGCAUUGGCCACUGUCGUCUCCUAAAAUUGGUACGCUCCCUUGGCACAUGGCCAUCUCAAUGGAAUGUAUUGCUUGAUUUAUUGACAAAAUGGUUUGGUAUGAAAUAUUCUGAAGGUAGGUACUGAUCCGCACUCGCUCACAAUGUUACAGAAGAUUAUAAAUCUAAAAUACGGCAAGCUAACUGGUUUUCUAUAUGCAGAACAGUUGCAUAUGCAGUGUUAUUAGCUAGAGUGUACUUUUCAGAUCAGCAAAUGGAGUUUUAAAGUUCUCUGUUCAACACUUUUCGAUAGUGUCACAUGAAAAGACAUGCAACGGAAGAGUGGGGUUCCUACUGCCCUGAUGCCGUCACGGCGUUAUGCCAGAUCUUUGAGUUAUGAGUGUCACUUCAUAGUAAUCAUGCUAAUACUUUGUAAAAAGAUGCCAUAAUAUGUUGCAGCUUAAAUCAUAUUCCGUAUAUCAGUCAGCGGUCUACUGGAACCACCUAUUAAACCACUGGCAAUUUAUACCCAAUUGUUACUGGACUCGUUGAUAACCACAACAGUUUUCUUAUACAAGCUUAUCUUUAGUACUGUAACUUAUGUACAAAUAUAAAAAGUAUACAACAGUCGCGGUCUACAAUAUAUUGUACACGUGAAAUGCAUCUAUGUGAUAUAGUAUCAUCGAAAGGAAACUAAUAUAAUGUGAAUCUUCAAUAAAAUACAUGAUACCUCAGAUGCAUUAUAUUCAACAUCCAAGCAAGCCAUCGGUUAUCUUGCACAAAUGUAAUUAGCGUGGCAAAGAUGCAAAUUCUUGCUCCAAACUGUAGCACCCAGAGCUCCCAGCAUUGACAAGAUCGAUAUGCCCAUAUAAGUUCUUAUCUUGUGGGCAUAACAAAGGCUCAAUAUCUGCAUCUUUUUCAGCUAAACCUUUUCUAAGUCUCUUUGUUCUUAGAAAUUGAAACCUCAUCUCGACUUCUUUCAUAGUCGGUCUGUCUCCUCCUUUGACCCUUAAGCAUGCUUCUGUAAGUAAGGCGAUUUCAUUAAUCUCUUCCUGGUCUGCCUCUUCCACAACUUGUUUAUCCAGUAUUUCUACAAGGGACCCUGCAUGAAGUCCUUCAAUGAAGUAAUGUGAUAGGCUUUGUUUAGCACCUAAAUCAUCGAUAAAAAUUGGCUUCUUCCUUAUCAAAAGUUCAACAAGUAUUACUCCAAAACUAUAUACAUCACUCUUUUCAGUAAGCUGACCAGUAUGAUAGUACUCUGGGUCCAAGUAGCCGAAUGUACCUUGGACAAUCGUAACCACAUGAGUCUCAUCAAGCGAAAGAGAUCUUGAAGCACCAAAGUCUGAGACCUUUGUGGUGAAGUUGUCAUCCAAGAGUAUAUUUGAAGACUUAACAUCUCUGUGGAAAAUUGGUAUUGUAGCAGCUGAGUGUAGAUAAGCAAGUGCCCCUGCUGCUUCCAUUGCAAUCCUAAUGCGAUCAUCCCAUGAAAGCAAGCAUUUUACUGUAGUAUCAGAGUGAAGAAGUUCAUACAGAGUGCCAUUAGAAAUGAACUCAUAGACAAGCAUGGGCACCUCAUCUUCUAGGCAGCAACCAAACAGUUUCACCACAUUGCGAUGGAUGAUUUGAGACAAAAUAACAACCUCAUUGAUAAACUGGUCUACCUCUAUUUGUUCCACUAUUUUGGAUUUUUUUAUGGCCACCACACGUUGGUCAGAUAGAAUCCCUUUAUAAACCGUGCCAUGUCCUCCACGACCAAGAACACGAGUAGCCUCAAAGUUGUUUGUUGCCUCCUCUAGUUCCUCCAAUGAGAAUAUUUUAGUUUUGCUUGUGGUGCUUUCAUCAGAGAUCAAUUGCUCCAAUAGCAGGCCUUGAUUUUUCUUGAAAUGUGCUCUUCUAAUUCUCUUCUGAAUGCCCCUUUUCCACUUACUGGCAAGUACAGUUACACCCAAUGCGACAAUUAUGGAGCCAAGGCCACAACUGAUUCCAAUUGCAAUACCUAUAUGCAUUCGCCAUUGUUAUGAAUCAUAUUAAUGUUUACAAAUUAUAAUUGCAGGGCGGUUUAUUUUGCUUGAGACUUACCCAAAAGGAGAUUACGUUGCUUAGUUGAGCAUUCAUAGCUUCCAGGCGUGUUUCGGCAUAUACCAUUGCAGUAGUUUGGCAGUGAGCAUUCAUCAAUAUCUGUAGAUAACACAUUCAAUAUAUAUAUUG